rnacentral:snRNA from 1 species
UCGUCGAUUUUUACGACGG